GUAAGCCGGGGGGCGGGCGCCGGUCCUAUCCGGCGACGGAUAGGGCUGGGGAAACUCCACCACCGCCACGGGGCCGCGGGCACCGUGAGGUGCAGGGGGAGACCCCUGGCUCCGGACAGAAACGAGACCCCCCUCCACGGAUGCGGAUGAUGCGGCGCCGUUAAAGCCGUUGACCAUGUGGAGGGAACGGGUGAGACGACCGUUCCCCGCGGGGAGGGUCAAGCAGGGCCCAUGAGAUCCCCGUGGUGAGGCCCGGGUAGACCCCAAGGUUGAUCCCGCUAGAACAGAAGGUGGGGUACUUCCGGCAUAC
rnacentral:RNase_P_RNA from 1 species